AAGGAUUUAAGUUAAAUAAAACUAUUAACCUUCAAAGUUAAAUAUAUAAUAAAUAUUAUAAGCCUUA
rnacentral:tRNA from 1 species